rnacentral:lncRNA from 12 species
GGGGGGGGGGGGGGGGGGGGGGGGGGGGGGGGGGGGGGGGGGGGGGGGGGGGGGGGGGGGGGGGGGGGGGGGGGGGGGGGGGGGGGGGGGGGGGGGGGGUCUCUGGUUUUGGGGGGCUCAGGGUGUCUCUGGUUUGGGGGGCACAGGGUGUCUCUGGUUUGGGGGGCUCAGGGUGUCUCUGGUUUUGGGGCUCAGGGGGUGUCUCUGGUUUUGGGGCUCAGGGUGUCUCUGGUUUGGGGGGCUCAGGGUGUCUCUGGUUUGGUGGGGCUCAGGUGUCUCUGGUUUGGGGGGCUCAGGGCGGGCCCGGGGGUCUCUCACCCCUCUCCCACCAGCCCCUCGUGCUCGUCGGCCAGCGAGUCUCGGCGGAAGGGCAGCACCACCAGGCGCGUGCCGUAGAUCAGCAUCACCGCGCAGCGCCCGUCGGGGUCCACCCGCACCCGCGGCGUGUGCACGUUCUGCACGAAGCCAUCCUGGGAAAAUGGGGAUUGGGGUGAACCUGGGAACCUCCAUCCCAGAGUGACCCCACACCCGCACCCGCGGCGUGUGCACGUUCUGCACGAAGCCAUCCUGGGAAUGGGGGGGUCUGGGGUGAACCUGGGAUCUGGGGAACCCCAAAAUCCAUCCCAGAGUGACCCCACACCCGCACCCGCGGCGUGUGCACGUUCUGCACGAAGCCAUCCUGGGAAAAUGGGGGGCUGGGGUGAACCUGGGAUCUGGGGAACCCCAAAAUCCAGCCCAGAGUGACCCCACACCCGCACCCGCGGCGUGUGCACGUUCUGCACGAAGCCAUCCUGGGAAAAUGGGGGGCUGGGGUGAACCUGGGAUCUGGGGAACCCCAAAAUCCAGCCCAGAGUGACCCCACACCCGCACCCGCGGCGUGUGCACGUUCUGCACGAAGCCAUCCUGGGAAAAUGGGGGGCUGGGGUGAACCUGGGAUCUGGGGAACCCCAAAAUCCAGCCCAGAGUGACCCCACACCCGCACCCGCGGCGUGUGCACGUUCUGCACGAAGCCAUCCUGGGAAAAUGGGGGGCUGGGGUGAACCUGGGAUCUGGGGAACCCCAAAAUCCAGCCCAGAGUGACCCCACACCCGCACCCGCGGCGUGUGCACGUUCUGCACGAAGCCAUCCUGGGAAAAUGGGGGGCUGGGGUGAACCUGGGAUCUGGGGAACCCCAAAAUCCAGCCCAGAGUGACCCCACACCCGCACCCGCGGCGUGUGCACGUUCUGCACGAAGCCAUCCUGGGAAAAUGGGGGGCUGGGGUGAACCUGGGAUCUGGGGAACCCCAAAAUCCAGCCCAGAGUGACCCCACACCCGCACCCGCGGCGUGUGCACGUUCUGCACGAAGCCAUCCUGGGAAUGGGGGGGUCUGGGGUGAACCUGGGAUCUGGGGAACCCCAAAAUCCAUCCCAGAGUGACCCCACACCCGCACCCGCGGCGUGUGCACGUUCUGCACGAAGCCAUCCUGGGAAAAUGGAGUUUUGGGGUGCUUGGGAUAUCCAGGGAUCCCCAAAAUCCAGCCCAGGACCCGUGUGCAGGUUCUGAACAAAGCCAUCCUGGGAAAUGGGGACUGGGAUAAACUGGGAACCCCAAAAUCCAGCCCAGAGUGACCCCACACCCGCACCCAGGGGGUGUGCACGCUCUGCACGAAGCCAUCCUAAAAAAAAAUGGGGAUUUGGGAUAAAUCUGGGAUCUGGGGAACCCCAAAAUCCAUUUUGGGAGAAAAAAAUGGGAAUUUGGGGUGUUUGGGGUAAAU